CUGGACAGAGAAGCUGCAGCUCUCAUCUACUCCUUCACUGGCUGCUCCUUCACUGAGAAGCUCUUCCCGUUCUUCAGUCCUGGUUUUUAUUACUAUGUUAGAAACUCUGCUCCUCUGAUCAUCUCUCCUGUCGGAGUAAAUUAAUCAUUCUCUGAUUUCAUGUGAUGAUUUUAUUCAUUAAAGGGAAUAAAUGUACAUAUUUUAUAUAAAUACUGUAUGUUUUUCUCUUUAUUUCUGUAUCAUGACCCUUAUGGAGAAUAUCUAUUUCAACCUUUUGAAUCACGCCUCUGACCUUUCCAUCAUGUCCACAGAAUACACUUUGUGUUGUUGUUAUUGUGCAUGAAAGUGAAUUAAUAGUAUAGAUGCAAAUGUUC
ensembl:lncRNA